rnacentral:rRNA from 1 species
GGACCGUAAGGAAAUCUUUUUGCAUCGAGAAGUAUCGUCUGUUUGGAUUUUAAAUUGUUUACAACUUUCAACAAUGGAUCUCUUGGCUCUGGCAUCGAUGAAGAACGCAGCGAAAUGCGAUAAGUAGUGUGAAUUGCAGAAUUCCGUGAAUCAUCGAAUCUUUGAACGCACAUUGCGCCCUUUGGUAUUCCAUCGGGCAUGCCUGUUCGAGCGUCAUUGGUACAAUGCUCAAGCACAGCUUGGUGUUGGGCGUAAUAUUUUUGUCCCGCCGUCAGCGCGAGGACUCGCCUGAAAAGCAUUGGCGAGCCGGCAUACCCGCGACAUCCGCACGCAGCAGACCGCGCGACAGGAGGUCGUCUUGGGGAAGGCUCGGAUGUCCAGGAAGCAAGACACAUGUCCAAUGGCUUGACCUCGGAUCAGGUAGGGAUACCCGCUGAACUUAAGCAUAUCAAUAAGCGGAGGAA